GGGGAAAAAUUAAUAAAGUAUAAAUAAUAAAAAAAUUUUUAAUAAAAUAUUUUAAUUGGGGGGUUAAAGUAUUUUUUAUAGAAAAAAUUUUAUUUUUAUAGAAAAUUAGUAAUGUGAAUGAAUUUUGAAAUAGAAUGAAAAAAAAAUUAGUGUAAAGUAAUUUUAAUUUGGUGUAUCUUGUGUAUCAGAGUUUAUUAAUUAAAAAUUUAUAGAAAAAUUUUCUCAAAUUAAAAAGAGUUAAUUAAUUAAUUAAUAUUAAUGUUGAAUAAUUAAGAAAAAUAAUUAAUUUGAAAUGAAAUGUUAUUCGUUUUUUAAAAUAUUUAGUUUUUUUAGAAAAAAAUUUAAUUUUAAAAUUAAAAUUAAAAUAAAUUUAGUUAAAUUAAUUUAUUAAUUUUUAAUUUAAAUAUUUUAAGGGAUAAGCUUUAAAAUAUAAUAAAUUAUAUUUAUUUGAUUCAAUUAAAAAAAAUUUUAAAAUUUAUAUUGUUUAUAAAAUAUAAUUUGUUAUAAAUAAUUUUAGUGAAAAAAAAAAUUUAAUAAAAAUUAAUUUUUUAUAAAAAAGAUUAAUAAUAAUUUUAAUAAUGUUAUAAUGAUAAAAUUAGUAUAUUUAAAUUUAAAUUAUAAUGAAUAAUUUUAUAGUUUAAUAAAAAGAAUUCGGCAAAUAUCUAUAUUCACCUGUUUAUCAAAAACAUGUCUUUUUGGAGUUAAUUUAAAGUCUAAUCUGCCCACUGAUAUAAAUUUAAAGGGCUGCAGUAUAUUGACUGUACAAAGGUAGCAUAAUAAAUAGUCUUUUAAUUGAUGACUAGAAUGAAUGAUUGGAUGAAAUAUAAACUGUUUCUUAUUGAUUUAAUAAAAUUUAAUUUUUUAAUUAAAAAGUUAAAAUAAAUUUAAAAGACGAGAAGACCCUAUAGAGUUUAAUAUAAUAUAUGAUAAAAAUUUUAUUAUAAAUAAUUUUUUUUUUAUUUUAUAUUGUAUUUUAUUGGGGUGAUAAAAAAAUUAAUUAAACUUUUUUUUAAAAAAUACAUAAAUAAAUGAAUUAAUUGAUCCAGAAUUUUUGAUUAUAAGAUUAAAUUACCUUAGGGAUAACAGCGUAAUUUUUUUUUUUAGUUCAAAUAAGAAAAAAAGUUUGCGACCUCGAUGUUGGAUUAAGAUAAAAUUUAAAUGUAGAAGUUUAAAAUUUUUGAUCUGUUCGAUCAUUAAAAUCUUACAUGAUCUGAGUUCAAACCGGUGUAAGCCAGGUUGGUUUCUAUCUUUAAAAAAUUAAAAUAUUUUAGUACGAAAGGAUUUGAUAUUUAAAAUAAUUUUAUUUAAUGAAUAUUAUUAAUUAAUUAAU
rnacentral:rRNA from 1 species